rnacentral:rRNA from 1 species
GAUGAACGCUGGCGGCGUGCCUAAUACAUGCAAGUCGAGCGAACAGAUGAGGAGCUUGCUCCUCUGACGUUAGCGGCGGACGGGUGAGUAACACGUGGAUAACCUACCUAUAAGACUGGGAUAACUUCGGGAAACCGGAGCUAAUACCGGAUAAUAUAUUGAACCGCAUGGUUCAAUAGUGAAAGACGGUUUUGCUGUCACUUAUAGAUGGAUCCGCGCCGCAUUAGCUAGUUGGUAAGGUAACGGCUUACCAAGGCAACGAUGCGUAGCCGACCUGAGAGAGGGAUAGGACACAGUGGAAGUGAGACACGGUCCAGACUCCUACGGGAGGAAGGAGUAGGGAACCAUGCGAGAAAGGAGAAAGCAUGACGGAGCAACGGGGGGUGAGUGAUGAAGGCAUUGGGAUGGGAAAGCUGUGUGAUUAGGGAAGAAGAAAUGUGUAAGUAACAAUGCAAGUAAUGACGGUACCUAAGCAGAAAGCAACGGCUAACUACGUG